UAGUCAGGGCACACUUGGCUUUGAAAUGC
rnacentral:piRNA from 2 species